AGGUGGUGCAUGGUUGUCGUCAGCUCGUGUCGUGAGAUGUUGGGUUAAGUCCCGCAACGAGCGCAACCCUCGUUCCAUGUUGCCAGCACGUAGUGGUGGGGACUCAUGGGAGACUGCCGGGGUCAACUCGGAGGAAGGUGGGGACGACGUCAAAUCAUCAUGCCCCUUAUGUCUUGGGCUUCACGCAUGCUACAAUGGCCGGUACAAUGGGUUGCGAUACUGUGAGGUGGAGCUAAUCCCAAAAAGCCGGUCUCAGUUCGGAUUGGGGUCUGCAACUCGACCCCAUGAAGUCGGAGUCGCUAGUAAUCGCAGAUCAGCAACGCUGCGGUGAAUACGUUCCCGGGCCUUGUACACACCGCCCGUCAAGUCACGAAAGUUGGUAACACCCGAAGCCGGUGGCCUAACCCUUGUGGGGGGAGCCGUCGAAGGUGGGACUGGCGAUUGGGACUU
rnacentral:rRNA from 1 species